CGCGAAAGGGCUGAAGGAUUGCUGCACUGAAGAAGCGCCGAUGUAAGACGCUGUUCUUCAACUGAUCAAAUCCAGUAACCCAACCACCUGCCCACUGAAUCCCAUCCCAUCGGCAUUGUUUCAGUCAAUCUCUGAGGACAUACUGCUCUUCAUCACGUUUCUCAUCAACAAGUCCUUGGCAUCAGAACCAGCUCCAAGACCCCAACCAGUCUGGCUUCAAACCAGCACACUCUACAGAAACUGCCCUCAUCGCAAUGACCGAGAACCUCCAAUCUGCAAUAUUAGCCAAAUUGUCAUCGGUUCUGAUCCUUCUUGAUCUCUCAGCAGCUUUUCACACAGUCAACCGUAAGAUCCUUCUGGACAUCCUCCCCAACCUUGCAGUCACUUACUAUGCGUGGAAGUGGUUCAAGUCUUAUCUGGAGGAUCGCUCUUAUCAGGUGACAUGGAGAGGGUUCACA